UCCCGGCACGGGAGGUAGUGACGAAAAAUAACAAUACGGGACUCUUCAUGAGGCCCCGUAAUUGGAAUGAGCGCAGUCUAAACCCUUGGGCGAGGACCCACUUGGAGGGCAAGUCUGGUGCCAGCAGCCGCGGUAAUUCCAGCUCCAAUAGCGUAUAUUAAAGUUGUUGCAGUUAAAAAGCUCGUAGUUGGAUCUCGGGCGCAGGCGGGCGGUCCGGCUCGCGCCGGCUCGCCGCCCGUUCCCCUGCCCCACCCCUUCCGGCUCCCUCCCGGUGGUGCUCUUCGCUGAGCGUCCCGGGCGGCCGGCGCGUUUACUUUUAAAAAAUUAGAGUGUUCAAGGCGGGCCCGGCGAGCCCGAAUAACUGCGCAUGGAAUAAUGGAAUAGGACCUCGGUUCUAUUUUGCUGGUUUUCGGAAUCCGAGGUAAUGAUUGACGGGGACAAACGGGGGCAUUCGUAUUGCGGCGUUAGAGGUGAAAUUCUUGGAUCGCCGCAAGACGGGCUACUGCGAAAGCAUUUGUCAAGAAUGUUUUCAUUAAU
rnacentral:rRNA from 1 species